rnacentral:rRNA from 1 species
UACAGAGGGUGCAAGCGUUGCUCGGAAUUAUUGGGCGUAAAGGGUAGGUAGGUGGUCUCGUUUGUCUGGGGUGAAAGCCUUGAGCUUAACUCAAGAAGUGCCUUGGAAACGGCGAGACUAGAAUCUUGGAGAGGGUCGUGGAAUUCCCGGUGUAGCGGUGAAAUGCGUAGAGAUCGGGAGGAACACCAGCGGCGAAGGCGGCGACCUGGACAAGUAUUGACACUCAACUACGAAAGCGUGGGUAGCAAACAGG